rnacentral:rRNA from 1 species
GUAGUCUCGCACAGAUGCAUAUCAAUAAGCGGAGGAAAAGAAACUAACAAGGAUUCCCCUAGUAACGGCGAGUGAAGCAGGAAGAGCUCAAAUUUGAAAUCUUAAAGGGUUUCCCUUUACGAAUUGUAGUUUAAAGAAGUGUUUUCUGUUGAGGUUUUGGUAAAAGUUCUUUGGAAUAGGACAUCAUAGAGGGUGAGAAUCCCGUAUUUGACCUUUACUUUCAACUUUGUGAUAUACUUUCAAAGAGUCGGAUUGUUUGGGAAUGCAGUCCAAAAUGGGUGGUAAAGUUCAUCUAAAGCUAAAUAUUGGCGAGAGACCGAUAGCGAACAAGUACCGUGAGGGAAAGAUGGAAAAGAACUUUGAAAAGAGAGUUAAACAGUACGUGAAAUUGUCAAAAGGGAAGCGUUUGACACCAGUGUUGUUUUUCUGAAAAUCAAUUAAAGAGCUGUUUAUGCUAAGUUGUUUAGACUUUAUCAGCUAACUGUUUAGUUUUGAGCUUUUCUUUAAUGCACUUUUCAGUUAACAAGUCAACAUCAAUUUCUUUUGCUGUAAAAAAGCUUGAGGAAGGUGGCUUGAGAUUCGUCUUAAGUGUUUAUAGCCUCUUGCCUAUGCAGUCGGAGAGAUUGAGGUCUGCAGCGUAGAUCCUUCGGGGCUAAAUGCAUUUGUGCUAAGUUAUAGCAUUUUAUAGACAACUUGUUGACUAUGAUUUGUCUUGUAGCUUACUCGCUUAUGUUAUUUUACCUACGCUUAGGAUGUUGAUAUCGCGCUCUCACUG